GUUUCAUCUAACCUGUGUCUCCAGCCUCUAUAUGUAGUCCUAUAAACGGGUAAAUAAAAGUCUAGAGGUUUAAAGUAGAUCUCAAUUUUGGGGAGGUGGGGGCUUCUUCAUCCCAUCGCACUUCAACUGCAUCACCUCUGGACACGUACAAUGUGUGACUGUUAACUACUUUCAUGUAUUCAACCCUUUUUUUCUGUACGGUUUCUCAAAUAGCUAAAGUCCAAAAUUUUUGCAUGGAUAGGCUGACCAUAUCUUAGCCCGGCUCAGGCAAGUGCUGAUAAAGAAAGAAGGCAAGAGCCCUCCGUGGCUGUGUAAUGUUAAGAGGGUGAGAGAGCUGAACUUCCAGAGGCUGCACUCGACCCCCUCCUUGGACAGACGAGGAGCCCGAGGUCCCCAGAAGGCCACAUGUGAUCCCAAGGCCAGACAGCUUUGCUGGGCAUUAUGAGGGAGGCGUCUCUUCUGUUACACUCGCCUCUCUUUCCAAGGGUCAGAGAGAAGUGCAGAAUCUCAGGUUCAUUUUCAGACUUGGUUAGACCUAAGUCUGCCCUUCCUUCCUCAGAACUUGGCCAUUUGUGGUGCCUGGGUGACAUCUCUGUGCCAGUGUCUGGGACUUGGGCACCUGAUGUUAAUCCAAUUGUACAGCCUUUCAAUGAGAUUCUACUUCCUAGUGUGAAUGGGACAUACUCAUGUGACAAAAGAUUUCCAACCUGUGAGUUCAUGGAAAGUUAUACCAAAGAAGAAAAAAAAAAAAUCACAUUUUUUUUCUGCCCUUUACCCUUAUUUGUCACAGUGAAAUUGCAUCCUCACUUUUGCACACACAUCAAACUCGCUAACGUCUAUGGCUCCUAUGGACUGUAGCCAUAGAAUCAGAAUCACCUGGCAUGUCUCCCAGUCCGACCUCCCCUGGAGCAGGGUUGAGAAACCUGAAUGCCUACCAAGCACACCAGGUGAUUCUUAUUUACUCCAAAGAGUGAGACGUUACCUAAGGUUCCUGGAUAUUCUAUUUGGGCAGCUGUAAUCUCAUCAUAAUGAUGGUUAAAGUGUCCCUGGGCUUCGAGCCUCACAAGCAUCAUUGUCAGUGGACUGAUUGCCAUCCUCAGUGCCCCAGGGACUUUCACUUUAACCCGCAGCAGCCCCAGCAGGGAUUUUAGGAAUGGGUGGAUCUUUUCCUUCCAUGCCUCUUGACAUGGCAGGACCCGGCAGGACCCAGGGUUCAGGGCUCUGUCCGCAUUGGUCCAGCCUCAGGACUGUCCACGCCCUGGCCCUGCCCCUGAGCCCAGAUGUGUCGCUCACAGCUGCCUCUUGCACAUCUGCACCCGGGUCCCCAGCUGGCAUCUGAGCUCAACGCGCCCGGAAUGAUGGCAGCCCAUGACAGCCCGCCUUCCUCCCUCUGUGGAAUGGACCAAACCCUUUUCAGUCACCCUGGACUCCUCUUUCUCAUUUCCCGUCCAAUCUAAGAGCACACUUGUUCCCUCUAUUCCUUCAAAACACAUCUGGACACAUGGCCGUUUCCCGUCACCUCCAUUGCCAUCACCCUAGACCAAGAUACGAGCUUCACCUUGAUGACUUCACGUUUUUAGUCUCCCCUCUUCCCUCUUUAACCUCUUCUUCCAUCUAAUCACGUGGCUGCCAGAACUAUCUUUUACAAUAGAGGUCAUUUUACCCCAUCCUUGCUCAAACCCUGCAAUGAUCUUACAUGACUCGCAGUAUAAAACCCAAUCCUGGCCAUGGCUUUGCUCACCAGGCCUGACCCCUGGUUUCCCCCAUCCCCUCCUCUCACUGAUUACGGCAACCACAGGGGACUUGGUUGUCCUUCUGGAACAUCUUAGGCACCUUCCUCUUUCAGCAGUGAUGCCCUUGCUGUUUCAUGCCUGGUACCUCCUUUAUACCUGGUACCUUGGAUAAUCCACGUUCAAGUGCUCAUGCGUCACCAGCCCCCAAGUCUCUCCAGCCCUCUCCGUCUCUGGAUCUGGCAUUAUUUUUCUUCCUAGCACUCAGCACCACCUGCCAUUAUAAUGUGCAUUUGUUUGGUCUUCCCCCAGUUGCAGGUGAACUCCCUGAGGGCAGAAAUUUGUUAUCAAUGUAUCCCCAGGCCUAUGCAGAGCUUGGCACUCUUAAUAUUUGUUGGCAGAACGGAUGGAUGGAUGGAAAGAUGGAUAAUAUAUGUGGUUUAUUCUAGCCCAGUAAUUCAUUAAAGACGAGAGGUGUUUGCCUAGAAUUAUGUCAGAAUAACCUCAUACCUUUGAAAUUAAUUACUGAGUUCCUUGACAUAAGCAUUUCCAUGGCAACAAAUGUAAUUCACGCUCACCACUGCUUAGUUUAUUUUUGCUUAUACAUCAGUAUACAAAGUGAGAGGAGUUUUACCGAGAGGAUGAUUGUGGGUGGGACUGGUAUUUUAGAGGAAUAAAUGCUAGGAUUAAUAAAUAGCUAGGAUUGAGAGAGCUUUGGUCUGGAGUACUUGAAUGAUUGCUUUUUUACUGGGUGUGCGUGUUUGUGAGGGUGUGAAGGAUGUGAAGAUGGCCUUGAGGGCAGAAUUUGAUAAUCAGGUUGCAGGAGAGCAGAGAUAGUGCCUGGAAAAGUGUAUUAUUCACGUCUGAGAAGUUUAGCCAUUCACAAAUCACCGAUAUAUAUGCAGAAAAAGUUUUCCUAGGUCUAUGCCAAUCCAAGCAUCAUUUGUUGUAGGAAAGGUUGACAGAAUUUGGCCAUUCUGAAGACUUUUGGCUUCAGAAUCCCUUUACACCCUUAAAAAUUCUUCAGGGUCCUCAAAAGUUUUUUAUGUGGGUUAUGCCUAUUGAUAUUUACCAUAUUCUGGUUAAAAUGGAAUUAAAACUUUAAUUCAUGAGGAAAAACAAACCCACUACAUGUUAAUAUAAAUAACAUAUCUUUUCAUGGUAGAUAACAAAAUUUCCAAGGCAAAAACAUUUUAUGAGAAGAAUAGCAUGGUUUCACUUUUUUGUCACUGUCACUAGUGUCUUACUGCCCUGCAUUUAGUCUUUGGGGACAUCCCACACCAUGUGGCCUCUGGAAAACUCCACUCGAGAGUGUGAAAAUCAAAUAAUUUCCUGGUAUUAGAUCUUUUGACCCUUGGACCCCCUGAGGGGUCUUUUGGACCCGUAGGAGGUCCCUGGACCACACUGUUAGGACUUUUGGAAUAAUACAGUUGACUGAGGGCUUUACAGAAGACAGAGGUAUUGCUUGAUGCCUCCUGUAUACUCCAUUAAAAAACCCUGAUUUUGCACAAAAGAGCAAAUACUGCAUGAUUCCACUUAGAAUAGUCCAGUCCACAGAGACAGAAACUAGAAUGGUGGCUGCCAGGAGCGAGGGGUAGGGGAGAAAGAUGAAGAGUUUAACGGGGACAGAGUUUCAGUUUGGGAAGAUGAAAAUGUUCUGGAGAUGGAGGGUGGUUAUAGAAGCACAACAAUGUAAAUGUGCUUGAUGCCACUGAGUUUUACACUUGAAAACGGUUAAAAUGGUAAAUUUUGUGUUAUGUGUAUUUUACCACAGUACAAAAAACCCAUUAAUUUAAAACUACAAGCACAAUAUGUCUUUAUGAAGAAGCAAGCUUCGUGUAAAUCUGUAACGUAGAAAGUGAAGCUUCCUCCUCUAAAGUAACCACUUUAAUAGUUCAGAAUCCAUGUCUUCUGAUUUUUCGUUGAGCAUUUACUUAAUAGAAAAGCAUGAAGGGGCUUUACAUGCAUUAUCUUAAGGCGGAGAAUUUAUUCUCACCAUUUGACAGAUGAGGAAGCCGAGGCCCAGAGAAUUUAAGUAACCUGUCCAUGGCUGGUAAAGGGGUUGAGCUAGGUCUGUACUUUUAACAUAGAGAUGGGUAGCUGGCUAUAGUUUCUACGUGAGUUUUUGUAAAGUGUGAAUAUUUCUGUGAAUUAAGCUAAAGCAGUUACUGGGGUUUGAUUACAUUUGGGACCAAACCAGUCUCUAGUCAUGAGGAAGGCGAUGAGCACAAUUCACUUUUGCCAAAUUGCAUUUGAGAGGUGCGUUCUUAAAGACAGUCAAUAAUCGAACACUUUGAAUAAUUCAAGACUAUUUUCCCCGUGGAACUGACCAAGACCCCAGAUAUUUUAACCCUGGAAAGUGCUAAAUAAACUACACCACCAGGUGGCGCUGUUGUGAACAAGCUUCGUUUACUCGUCCAACCAGCUUUGCUAUUCAACUAUUUGGGACAAAAUUUCCCAAGACAGAGCAAUAGUGAUUUGUGUUAUUGCAAAUGCUGCAGGGACUAUGAGACUCUAUUAAUGUGAUUUUAUUGAAAUAUUUAACAUUUUUGUAGUUCAACAUCCCACGAGCUAACCUUUAUGUUCAUUACUCAGUGACUGUAACUCUGCAGUAGAAUGACACCACUUCUAUUUUGAUGUUUAUUUCCGGGAAUGCCCCAAACCCAGUUUAAUUAAAAAAAAAAAAAAAAAGGAAGAAAGAAACUGGUCACCAUCGUCUUCUCCUCUUUGCCUCAGAUGUUGGCUUCAGAGAGAGCCAGGGGCAGGAUGGAGAUGCCUCUGCCUUCUAGUUUACAGGGAGGAUGUGGGGCAGGAAGGUACAGGUUCAAAUCAGUGAUCCUGGAGAGUGGGGGGAGGGUGUGGUGAAGUCCCAACAUUAAAGGAAAUCUAGUCCUGGAGGAAGGAGCCUCUCGGCUCGAGGAGGAGCGGAUUGACCUUUGCCCUCUCGCCCUCUCCUCUUUCUCUACGAACCCAUCCUGCUUUCCUGUCUCCCUGCUUCUCUUCCCUCCCCCCUCUCCCCCCUUCUAAGGUGACUCCAUCAAGAACUUCCGGAAGUAGAUCUGGCUUUACUGUGGCUCGUGCAAAGGUCCUGGGUUACUCAAGAACAGUGAAAAGGCGCAGGUGGCCGGCUGGCCAGGUGGCUGAGGAGACAGGAGAUGGGGACCUGCUGGCUGUUGGAAGGAUUUGACUUUUGCUCUGAGCAUGAUGGGGAACUACUGAGGGCUUUGAGCAGAGGAUUAACAUGAUUGGACUUAGUCACAGCCGUAUUCCAGCUCCAUGCCGGGGCAUGGUCAUUGAGUCACUGAGGCUACCUCCAAGUGGGGUUGAACUUUCACACAGUAGAGACCCUGUGGGGCUGCUCAUCCCACUAUGUUGAACUUGUUUCCCAUUCCUGGAAGGCCCCACCUGUUGGUGCAUCUGAACCCCAUGAGGAAGGUCGGGAGGGCUUCCUGGAAGUGUCACCUAAUCUGAGACUUGCACAUGGACCUGAGAGGGUUUGCGCCUGCUGUUCCCUUCCAACUUCCCUCUGGAGGUUGAAGGCAGAAAGACCCACUUCAGGGAUCAUCAGUAGGUGGGAUCCACUUGAGUAAGAGAAUUUUCUGCCAGGGCAGGGUUUGAAGAGGCUGCAGAGGUGUUGGUUAGCCGGCUAAGGAGUUUCCAUUAUCAUGUGGCCAACAGAUGCAGGGUGCAAAGCUGCAGGACGACAAGAUCCAUGGUUUUAUCGACCAGAAGCAGUAAGGCAAUGUCAAAAAUCAACAGCAAGACUUGAACUUUUGGUUGAACUUGUAUUAACUCUCCCUCAUUAUUAUCGGUUAGUUUUGAAGGUGAGCAGGCAAGUGUAGCAAAUUGGAAAAUGGAAUCCUCUAAUGACUCUUUUUAUUGCCUUUUGCUGAUCCUUAAUAUAAAGCAAAUAAUCGUAAAUCACAGCCAGCUCAAUGGCUUCCUUUCAUCUACAAUACAAACGACGCCUGGGGUUGAGAAGUUUACAGAUUUUCAGAAGUAGCAUCCGCCUGACUGGACCCCAGCUGACACAGCGAGGUCUUACUUUAUGCAAAUUUGAAAUUGUGAGUUAGACACAUGUUAGCGUUCCAUGGUACGCACCAAAUUUGCAAUAGUGUGAAUGCUGCAAAAUUAGAAAUUCUCUGAGAAUCUUCAUUCAGGCAGUGUGGACUGAAGGUUGGGGACACAUCAUUGCCACAUGGUGGCGCCCGUCAUCAGGUAAACAGAAACGUGUGUGCUCCUUUGUUGAGAUGUGAAUUAUGUGGCUUCAAAUGAUGCAUUUUCUUCCCUUGAAAAACAAGCAGCUGCUGUGUAGUUCCAAGCUGGAUUUGUCUUUGAAACUAAAGGGCAUGUGACAUAAGAAAACAUUAAAAAAUUCAACUGAAAUGUUGUAGCUGAUAGCGUUUCCUUAUGUCAUAGCCCGUUCCAUACUGUUGAAAUGGCCAUUUAUGUAAAAAUAAACAACAUCACACAUGCAAAUGGUUAAAACAGACAAAUAGUGUUUAUAGUGCAAAACGAGGGUCUUGCACUACCUCCCUACUCCCUCAGUGCUGCUCUUCUGAUGCAAGACCGUUUUUCCAAGCUUCUACUGGCAUUACCAGCGUUAUGGCUACUAGCUCUUGUCUCUCGAAUCCUCUCCAUUCCACUGUGCCAGGAUUUUUAGCUUGCCCGUUGCAGUGUUUCUCAGUGGGGGCACUGUUGGCAUUUUGGGGGGGACAAAGUUGUGUGGCGUGGGACUGACCAUUUAUUGUAAGAUGGAACGUUAGCAUUCCUGCCCACACCCCUACCCAAGGUGGAGGAUCUACCUGUUACGUGAGAAAAAUAUUUCCAAGUGUCCUUGGGGUGGGCAGCAUCUCCUUCAGUUGAGAACAGCUGCUCUGCUGCGGACCUUCUGCCUCCCCUCUUGUGAAAUGAUGAUAAUGAUGGUGUCUGCCCCGUCUCAUCACAUCUCUGCUUCCACUUCUCAAUUUAUGUUAUUUGUACUUUUUCUGUUCCAUGUUCAAGACUGGUGACACUUGAUCUGGGUUCUGUAACCAUAAGAACCAUAAGAACUUGGUCCAUACUUAUCGAGUUUGAUUCUAAAAGCUGAAAAAUCGGUAGUUAUAACUAUGCCAGUGUCUCUAUGCCUUUACCUAUUCUGGAUAUUUCAUACAAAUGGACUCAUACAAUAUGGACCUUUCUGUGCCUGGCUUUUUCACUCAGCAUCAUGUUUUGAAGGUUUACCCAUGUGACAGCAGGAAUCAGUGCUUUGUUCCUUUUCAUGGCUGAAUAAUAUUCCAUUGUAUGGAUACGGCACAUUUCCCUAUCUUCCAUUUGUUGAUAGGCGUUUGGGUUGUUUCUGCCUUUUGGCUGUUGGGAAUAGUGCUGCUAGGAACUUGCACGUACACGUUUCUGUUUGAAUAUCUGUUUUCAGUUCUUUUGA